rnacentral:rRNA from 1 species
UCAGUUCAGCACUAAGUCACUUUGUCUUUAUGGCAAAUGUGAGAUGCAGUGUAUGGAAUGUCAAAUUUCUAGUAUGAUAAAUUAACGAUUUAAGUCCUUCUUAAAUGAGGCCAUUUACCCAUAGAGGGUGCCAGGCCCGUAUAACGUUAAUGAUUACUAGAUGGCAUUUCCAAAGAGUCGUGUUGCUUGAUAGUGCAGCACUAAGUGGGUGGUAAACUCCAUCUAAAACUAAAUAUAACCAUGAGACCGAUAGUAAACAAGUACCGUGAGGGAAAGUUGAAAAGAACUCUGAAUAGAGAGUUAAAUAGUACGUGAAACUGCUUAGAGGUUAAGCCCGAUGAACCUGAAUAUCCAUUAUGGAAAAUUCAUCAUUAUGAUUUUAAUAUUUAUAAUAUUAUAAUAAUAGUGUGCAUUUUUUCUAUAACGGACAUUGUAAUCUAUUAACAUAAAUAUAUUUAUCAUAAGAUCAAUGAUGCGUAAGUUUAUUCAAAUUAUUUUGCUUGCAAUUUAACAUAGAAUAAAUGCUCUUGAUUUGAUAAAGUGUUGAUAGAUUUAUUGUAUAUAGUGCUUAAAUAUUUAUAUUUUAUAAUAGCAUAUUAAUCAUUGAUUUUUAUGUUUAUUAUAUGCACUUAUAUGAUUAACAAUGCGAAAGAUUCAGGAUACCUUCGGGACCCGUCUUGAAACACGGACCAAGGAGUCUAACAUAUUUGCAAGUUAUUGGGUAUCAAAACCUAAUAGCGAAAUUAACAUAACUUUAAUGGGAUUAGUUUUUAGAUUAUUUAUAGUCUAUUAAUUCAAUCCCGGGGCGUUCUAUAUGGUUAUGUAUAAUAAUAUUUAUAUUAUUUAUAUCUCUAACCAGAGCGUACCUUGAGCAUAUAUGCUGUGACCCGAAAGAUGGUGAACUAUACUUGAUCAGGUUGAAGUCAGGGGAAACCCUGAUGGAAGACCGAAACAGUUCUGACGUGCAAAUCGAUUGUCAGAAUUG